AGAGUUUGAUCCUGGCUCAGGAUGAACGCUGGCGGCGUGCCUAAUACAUGCAAGUCGAGCGAACAGAUAAGGAGCUUGCUCCUUUGACGUUAGCGGCGGACGGGUGAGUAACACGUGGAUAACCUACCUAUAAGACUGGGAUAACUUCGGGAAACCGGAGCUAAUACCGGAUAACAUAUUGAACCGCAUGGUUCAAUAGUGAAAGGCGGCUUUGCUGUCACUUAUAGAUGGAUCCGCGCCGUAUUAGCUAGUUGGUAAGGUAACGGCUUACCAAGGCAACGAUACGUAGCCGACCUGAGAGGGUGAUCGGCCACACUGGAACUGAGACACGGUCCAGACUCCUACGGGAGGCAGCAGUAGGGAAUCUUCCGCAAUGGGCGAAAGCCUGACGGAGCAACGCCGCGUGAGUGAUGAAGGUCUUCGGAUCGUAAAACUCUGUUAUCAGGGAAGAACAAAUGUGUAAGUAACUGUGCACAUCUUGACGGUACCUGAUCAGAAAGCCACGGCUAACUACGUGCCAGCAGCCGCGGUAAU
rnacentral:rRNA from 1 species